GAUGAAGAACGUAGCGAAAUGCGAUAAGUAAUGUGAAUUGCAGAAUUCCGUGAAUCAUCGAAUCUUUGAACGCACAUUGCGCCCUCUGGUAUUCCGGGGGGCAUGCCUGUCCGAGCGUCAUUUGCAACCCUCAAGCCCGGCUUGUGUGAUGGGUGCCGUCCCCUACGGGACGCGCCCCGAAGGCAAUGGCGGCGUCGCGGUUAUCCGAUCAGCCAAAGUGUAUGGGGCUUUGUCACUCACUUUACGGCCCGGACCGGCGCCAGUCCGAAUCAAUCUUUUUUCUAAAGUUGACCUCGGAUCAGGUAGGGAUACCCGCUGAACUUAAGCAUAUCAAUAAGCGGGGA
rnacentral:misc_RNA from 1 species